AGGGUUUGAUCCUGGCUCAGAACGAACGCUGGCGGCAGGCCUAACACAUGCAAGUCGAGCGCGCCUUCGGGUGAGCGGCGGACGGGUUAGUAACGCGUGGGAACGUGCCCUUCUCUACGGAAUAGCCUCUGGAAACGGAGAGUAAUACCGUAUACGCCCUUUGGGGGAAAGAUUUAUCGGAGAAGGAUCGGCCCGCGUUAGAUUAGGUAGUUGGUGGGGUAAUGGCCUACCAAGCCUACGAUCUAUAGCUGGUUUUAGAGGAUGAUCAGCAACACUGGGACUGAGACACGGCCCAGACUCCUACGGGAGGCAGCAGUGGGGAAUCUUAGACAAUGGGGGCAACCCUGAUCUAGCCAUGCCGCGUGAGUGAUGAAGGCCUUAGGGUCGUAAAGCUCUUUCGCCUGUGAUGAUAAUGACAGUAGCAGGUAAAGAAACCCCGGCUAACUCCGUGCCAGCAGCCGCGGUAAUAC
rnacentral:rRNA from 1 species